AUACAUACACUGCACCCUCAAACACACACAGCACCUGUCACAUACACCCUCCACACGCGCACACACACAGCACUCCUUGCUCCUCAUAUAAUAGCAGCACUCUCACACGCAGCAUCCCUCACAUACACACACAGAAACCUCACACAAAUCGCACACUGCACCCCUCACACAUGCAGCAUCCCUCAAACACACACACAGAGACCUCACACACAGCACCCCCUCACACACAAACCACACACUGCACCCGUCACACACACACAGCACCCUCACACACACAGCACCCUCACACACACAGCACGCCUCAUACACACAUUACAUUCCAGACAUACACUAGAUCCCUUACACAACACUGUUUCAUCUACUCACACUAAAUCCCUAUAAACACUUUGAAUCCUCUAUGCACACAAGCACACACUAGAUCUCCUAAUCACGCUCUGGGUCUUUCAAACACACACUAGAUCCCCUUCACACACACUACGUUCCUGACAUACAAACUCUUGAUCACCUAUGCAUACACUAGAUUUCUUUUAAGCAAACACAUACUACAUUCCAUAAACAGACACAUAACCUCUAUACACACUAUGCUCCCUAUACACACUCUCUCACUCUCUGUAGGCCACACAUUACUCCACAAACACAACACAACUGAAACCAUAGGCGUGUGCCGGGUGUGCCUGGGCACACCCUAAUCCCAG